UACGAAGGGGGGCGAGCGUUGUUCGGAAUUACUGGGCGUAAAGGGCGCGUAGGCGGCCCGUUUUGUCAGGCGUGAAAGCCCUGGGCUCAACCUGGGAACUGCAUUCGAGACUGAAUAGCUAGGGUACGGUAGAGGGAAGUGGAAUUUCCGGUGUAGCGGUGAAAUGCGUAGAUAUCGGAAGGAACAUCAGUGGCGAAAGCGACUUCCUGGACCAGUACCGACGUUCAGGCACGAAAGCGUGGGGAGCAAACAGG
rnacentral:rRNA from 1 species